rnacentral:lncRNA from 1 species
AUGGGAUCCCCUGGCUGCAACAUCCUGGGGAGGUGGUUUGGAUAGCUCCUGCCUCUCUCCCCAGCACAGAGCAGCUGCCCCAAGCUCAGCCUCACCCUUACACAGCCGGAGUCCUUCUCCAUCCCUCUGCAGAUCCUCUACCCCGCCCUUCGAGCCCAUUUCAGAAGUGGAAGUCAAUGGCCCUUGGUCAGGAAAGCCCCAGUCCUCUCCACAAGGAAAACAAGGCCAGAGAGACUGAGAUAGCCUGGAUGGAGCUGUCCCUGCAUGGUCUGACUCAUGGAGACCCUUUCCUGAGGGGGCCUUAGCAGGGCAGGCUUCGCCAUGCUGUUCCUGGGAGAAGACAGUCAGAGCUGCAUCUGUCACCCCCCACCACCUAUGAGCCACCAAGGGGAGGAGGACACUACUGUGCUUGCCCCUGCGCAUACCCAGCAGGCCCAGCUCCCUCUACUCCCUGGCCUUGGCCGAGUUCCAGAUCACUCUCAACCACGUAUUUUCAAAAUCCUUUGUGCCGGAACAUGGCCAGUAUGCAAAUUAAGCGAGGACUUGGAGUUUGCAGCUUACACGUGUGAUUACCAGGGCUCUGCAGGUGGAGUUUGCUGGCGAAAGAGCCUAUGCAUGAGGAACCUUUCCAUCAAGCAGCAUUCAAGUGAGUUUCCCAGAAUGCAGCUUGUCCUCUCCAGGGAUGGAGGAAUUGUUUCUACCCGCUUUCAACACAGAAGACCUGGGGGUUUAUGGGAGACCAGGAGGACCUCAUCACUGGCUUAUUCCUUCCUUCAUUCCUUGAAACAGUUAUCCCUAUUAUUAUCUUUUAGGAUUUAUCUAGGGAGAUAA